GACAAGGAAAGAAGUCCACUGGGUA
rnacentral:piRNA from 1 species